ACUCCUGUAGUGAAAUUGGUAAACGCUUCCGUUUGAAAUACGGAAUUCUUACUCUUUCAACUCUUGUCGGGAGUACCA
rnacentral:tRNA from 2 species